GGCCUAUUAGCUCAGCUGGUCAGAGCGUGGUCCUAAGAAGGCCAAGGUCGCAGGUUCGAGACCUGCAUGGGCCA